GAGGUGCCGAGGCUUCUCCCGUUU
rnacentral:tRNA from 1 species